GUCUAAUCAGAAGCCACGUCUUCAUGUUGGUCUGCACAGAGUGCUAAUAAUGGUGAAGAAUUGGGGGCGUGUUGCAGCAAGUUUGCCUGUGUGGAAAAGAAUGUGUAACCCAAGAAAAAAUAGCUAUAGCUAGAGGGGGAGUUUUGCUCUCUCAAAAUCAUGGUCCAUUUACCCCUCCCUCUCUGUGUCUUAUAAAGGAAUGAUGCACGUUUAGAGAACUACUUCUAGAAAGCCAUCCCUCACUUUCAGACACUUCAAAGAGUCCAUCUGGAUCUUGUGAUGACUCGG